GGGCCCGCACAAGCGGCGGAGCAUGCGGAUUAAUUCGAUGCAACGCGAAGAACCUUACCAAGGCUUGACAUAUACCGAAAACUCAUGGAGACAUGGGGUCCGCAAGGGCGGUAUACAGGUGGUGCAUGGUUGUCGUCAGCUCGUGUCGUGAGAUGUUGGGUUAAGUCCCGCAACGAGCGCAACCCUCGUCCUAUGUUGCCAGCACAUCAUGGUGGGGACUCAUAGGAGACUGCCGGGGUCAACUCGGAGGAAGGUGGGGAUGACGUCAAAUCAUCAUGCCCCUUAUGUCUUGGGCUUCACGCAUGCUACAAUGGCCGGUACAAAGGGUUGCGAUACCGCGAGGUGGAGCGAAUCCAAAAAGCCGGUCUCGGUUCGGAUUGGAGGCUGAAACUCGCCUCCAUGAAGGCGGAGUUGUUAGUAAUCCCGGAUCAGCAACGCCGGGGUGAAUACGUUCCCGGGCCUUGUACACACCGCCCGUCACACCACGAAAGCGGGCAACACCCGAAGACGGUGACCCAACCCUUACGGGAGGGAGCCGUCGAAGCUGGGGUUCGUGAUUGGGGUG
rnacentral:rRNA from 1 species